rnacentral:tRNA from 2 species
GCGGGUGUGGCGGAAUUGGCAGACGCGCUGGAUUUAGGUUCCAGUGCCGCAAGGCGUGCAGGUUCGAUUCCUGUCACCCGUA